rnacentral:misc_RNA from 1 species
AGGUGGUCUAUGAAACAUCAGGGUUUCUGGAGAAGAACAGAGAUCUGUUACACAUGGGUCCUAUCCAGCUCCUGGCUUCUUGCACGUGCCGCCUUCCUCAAAUAUUUGCAUCUAAGAUGCUUAAUCAGUCUGAAAAGGCACUGGGAAAUGUAUCUAGAUUGAAUGGAGCUGAUUCCCAGAAACUCAGCGUGGCGACAAAGUUUAAGGGGGAACUAUUCGAACUGAUGAACCGACUUGGGACUACAACUCCUCACUUUAUCCGGUGUAUUAAGCCAAACAAUUCCCAGCGCCCGGCAACUUAUGAACAAGCCCUUGUACUCCAGCAGCUAAGAUGUUGUGGAGUUCUUGAAGUCGUUCGUAUAUCAAGAUCUGGAUUUCCUACAAGAAUGACUCACGAAAAAUUCGCCAGAAGGUACGGGUUUCUCCUUCUCGAGAGUGUUGCAUCUCAA